UGCCAGCCGCCGCGGUAAUACGUAGGCAGCAAGCGUUGUUCGGAAUUACUGGGCGUAAAGAGUGUGUAGGCGGUGUUCUAAGUUUGUCGUGAAAUCUCCCGGCUUAACUGGGAGGGUGCGGCGAAAACUGGAAUGCUAGAGGAUGGGAGAGGUAAGCGGAAUUCCUGGUGUAGCGGUGAAAUGCGUAGAUAUCAGGAGGAACACCUGUGGUGUAGACAGCUUACUGGACCAUUUCUGACGCUGAGACACGAAAGCGUGGGUAGCAAACAGGAUUAGAUA
rnacentral:rRNA from 1 species